rnacentral:rRNA from 1 species
CUUGGUGAUCGAAGCGGCGGGGGUACACCCGGUCCCAUCCCGAACCCGGAAGUAAAGUCCGCCAGCGCCGAUGGUACUUGGCUGGAGACGGCCUGGGAGAGUAGGUCAUUGCCAAGG